GAUACACCUGUUCCCAUUCCGAACACAGAAGUUAAGCUCUCUAGCGCUGAUGGUACUUGGUGGGAAACUGCCUGGGAGAGUAGGACGUAGCCACGU
rnacentral:rRNA from 1 species